rnacentral:RNase_P_RNA from 1 species
CCAGAUGGCCGGAUGGCUGCCCUGAUUGCUUGCAAUCGGGGAGGAAAGUCCGGGCUCCACGGAAACACGGUGCCAGAUAACGUCUGGCGGGGGCGACCCUAGGGAAAGUGCCACAGAAAGGAUACCGCCGGAUCGCGCAAGCCAUCCGGUAAGGGUGAAAGGGUGCGGUAAGAGCGCACCGGGGUACUGGUAACAGCGCCCGCAUGGCAAACCCCACCCGGAGCAAGGCCGAAUAGGGGCGGCGCGCUGGAAACAGCAGGUGCGUUUCGCAUCGACUGCCCGGGUUGGCUGCUCGAGCCAUGGAGCAAUCCAUGGCCCAGACGAAUGGCUGCCGCCGCGCGGCUGGUGUGCAAGCAUACCGCGUGCGGAACAGAACCCGGCUUACAGGCCCCCUGGCAUU